CAGAUCAUCACCAGAGUCCACACACCGAGCGCUUGUCACAGCAGAGAACCAGUCUGGUCAUCCAACGAGGCAAAUAAAUAAUAAAAGAUCAAUGGAUAGCUUUGUCAUUAACACUUUGACAGAGUGCCAGACCUUGUCGAAAGAUUUAAAAGCUUCCACGUAAUAUGUCAAAGUGACUCCAAUAGAUGAAUAGAGCCGGCCACUGGAUUCCUGGAGGAAAGGCUGCGGAACGUCAGGAAGCGGCUGAGAUCAACCAGCAGGUCGCAGAGCACGGCACAGACACCACCACAAACGCCAGAUGAUGGCGCUCUCGCAAGGGCUCUCAUACCAGAAUGUACCAUAUCAGACGAACGUGGGUCACAGCUUAAAGAAUGGUUGAGAAAUAAUUCUCAGCCCCUCAGCCAGAUAGAGAACUACAUGCCGAACACAGCAGUCUACAGGGCCAAGUGGAUUAGGGACAACAAUUGGACCAUCGAUCAGAUCCUCGAAGAGUUCCCUCACCUAAUGACCAAAGGCAUGAUUGCACAGGCUUGUCCUGCAUGGGGAUGCUGCGUCAAAGUUGUUUGAAACUUGGUCACGUGAAAUGCCAGAGGGGAGUCUAAAAUGGUAAAGUUUAUUCAAAGUAGAAUACUUGCUUGCAAGUAGAGCUAAUGGCUCUUAAUAGCAGCUUUUUAAUAGGAAUUUGAAUUUGUUCACUAUAGACCUGUUGAAUGUUCAGCCAGUUCAUUCGUAAUUGUUGU